CUGGAAUUUCGGGAAUUUCUGAAUUUUAGGAAUCCUGGGCAUUGUGGAAAUUUUGCUAAUUUUGGGACUUUUGCUAAUUUGGAGAAUUUGUCGGGAAUUUGGGGAAUUUUUGGAAAUUCGGGGAUUUUGUGGGAUUUUAGGGUUUUUGUGGGGAAUUUUGGGAAUGUUUCAGGAGUGGGUUCUGGGCAGGGUUCCUCGAGCUCAAAUUUUUUGAAUUUCGGGAAUUUUGGGCAUUUUGGGAAUUUCGGGAAUUCUGGGGAUUUUCGGGAAUUUUGGGGAUUUGGGGAAUGUUUCAGGGCCGGGUUUCUGGAGCUGGAUUUGUGAGAUUUUGGGGAUUUUCAGGAUUUUGGGGGAUUUUCCAGGAGCGGGUUCCGGGCGGGGUUCCUGGAGUUCCUGAACGUGGAUCCCGCCAUCCUGGCCCCGUUCCAGCUGGCCCAGUCCCUGCCCCGGCCCUGCGUCCUGGGCAGGAUCCUCCUGGAGCUGGUCCUGGAGCCGCCGGACGAGCGGGAUCCCGUCAGCAGGGAGCUGGAAAAGCACCGCCGUUCCCUGUGCCGGGAUCUGGCCGCCAACGCCCGCCGGGUGCAGCAGCAGCUCGGCCGCGCCCCCGGGAUCCGGUGCCAGCCCCCGGCCGCGGGACCCCGAGUGUUCCCAAAAUUCGAGAUCCCGCCCCGAGCCCGGAGCCAGGCCCGGGCGCUGGGCCUGGAGCCCGAUGGCUUCUUGUGCCGGUGGCUGCGGGAGAGAGCGGGGCUGGGGGUGACAGCGGGGAGCGACUGCGGGCUGGGGACAGGGGACAGCGGGGACAGCGGGGACAGCGGGGACAGCCCCCCCCCCCCCCCCCCCCCCCCCCCCCCCCCCCCCCCCCCCCCCCCCCCCCCCCCCCCCCCCCCCCCCCCCC
rnacentral:lncRNA from 12 species